rnacentral:lncRNA from 1 species
GUUUUUAGCAAAAAAUUAUAGUACAUUUUAUAAGUUUUUCUAUUUUUAUCGAAAAUUCCUUACAUAUGGUCUCAGCUCAUACAAAAAUGGCUGUAAUAUUUUUUUAUGUUGUUUUAAUUGGAUUGCAGAUAGUUUAUUGUAGCAAUUCACCCACUACAAUAAACCAUCUGCAAACGGCUGCUGUAAGCAAUAAAAAAUGCUAUAUCCAUUUAAAUGGCCACAAAGUGUUAUUUUUGUUUUGUGUUUUGCAAUCUCCUCUUAAAUUUCAAUGAAAUAGAAACAACAAAAUGAACAAUUAAUAUAUAUUUUAGUUUA